AUUGAACGCUGGCGGCAGGCCUAACACAUGCAAGUCGAGCGGCAGCGGAAAGUAGCUUGCUACUUUGCCGGCGAGCGGCGGACGGGUGAGUAAUGUCUGGGGAUCUGCCUGAUGGAGGGGGAUAACUACUGGAAACGGUAGCUAAUACCGCAUAACGUUGCAAGACCAAAGUGGGGGACCUUCGGGCCUCACGCCAUCGGAUGAACCCAGAUGGGAUUAGCUAGUAGGUGGGGUAAUGGCUCACCUAGGCGACGAUCCCUAGCUGGUCUGAGAGGAUGACCAGCCACACUGGGACUGAGACACGGCCCAGACUCCUACAGGAGGCAGCAGUGGGAAAUAUUGCACAAUGGGCGCAAGCCUGAUGCAGCCAUGCCGCGUGUGUGAAGAAGGCCUUCGGGUUGUAAAGCACUUUCAGCGAGGAGGAAGGGUGGUGUGUUAAUAGCACACGACAUUGACGUUACUCGCAGAAGAAGCACCGGCUAACUCCGUGCCAGCCGCCGCCGUAA
rnacentral:rRNA from 1 species